rnacentral:misc_RNA from 1 species
CAGAGUUCAUGCCCUAACGGGUAGAUCUCCCACCCUAUGUAUUUAUACCUUUGUUGCUUUGGUAGGCCGUUGGGCUUCGGCCUGGCUACCGGCUCCGGCUGGUAAGUGCCUACCAGAGGACCCAAAACUCUGAAUGUUAAUGUCGUCUGAGUAAAACAUAAUAAGUUA